ensembl:lncRNA
ACUUUCCAGUCACAGAUAUGUACUCAGGCUAAUUCAACCAAUGAGCUAUUGAAUGUGCAGAGAAAGAUAAGGAAACAGAAAAUGUCUCAGUAGCUAUAUAGCUUGCCCUGGAAACUGGAACAUAGUUUAGAAAAUAAAGACAACUUGUUAUUUAAUAUUAAUUCUAGGUAACAUCUCCUCUGACAUUGCUGGUCCUUAUGCUGCAAGUGCACAAUUUCUUGUGAGCAUUUUCACAUCCUUCUGGUGUUACAGCUGCCAUGUUGUAAGCUGUCCUGUGAAGAGGGCCACAGGGCAAGAAACUCAUGCAACCAACAGCUAUUGAGGAGCUGAGGCUUGUUAGCAGCCAUGUAAGUGAAUUUGAAAGUAGAUUAAAAUGACUGUAGGCCUGACCUUCACCUUAUUUGCAGCACUAUGAGAAACCCUGAUGAAAGGAUUCACCUAAGCUGUACUGAACUCUUGACACUUAGAAACUGUGAGUAAUAAGUAGUUAUUGCUUUUAGUUGCUAAUGUUAGGCCAAUUUGUUAUGUAGCAGGAAUCUCUUAAGACACCAUGUAAUACAUUUAUGGUCUUUUUUCUAUUGAAUUGUAUGUAACCUUAUCAUUGAAUCAUUAAUUCCACUCAUUUAUUGCUAUAGACUUGCUGUAGCUCAUAUGUAAUAGAGUGUUUCCCCCUGCUUCACCUUUUUAUUUUAAAGUCAACUUUGGUAUUUGUUAAUUUUCUUCUUCAUACUUUUUAUGGUAAGUUCACUGAAUUUUUGAAAUAUAGUUAGAAUUUGAUUGAAUUUGCAUCGUUUAUUGACAAAUAUGCAGAAUUUAUAACUUUAUUUCACUAUAAUCUCAUUC